rnacentral:lncRNA from 1 species
AGGAAUACUUCUUAUAAAAUUAGCCUUAGGUUUAUUCAUUAUUUAAUCGUAUAAUUAUCUAAUUGUGGCAAUGUAAUAACAAAAAAGCAAAAUAUAUAAGAACAAAAAGUAGUAUAUGUGGCAUGAGUUUGCUCGGGACACGUGGAUGCAUGAAGUAGAUAUGCAGGCAUGAGUUUUCUCCUCUCUCUCUCCCUCUCUCUCUCUCUCUCUCUCUCUCUCUCUCUGUGUUUCAACAUUGCAAACUUUUUUUGGAUGCAUGAAGUAGAUAUCGUGGUCAUUCUACUUUUCCCUUCAUUAAUGUUCAAAGUUGGCAUCACCUUGACUUUUCUCUCCCAAUUCUUCUUUCCUUAGCUCACACAUUUGUGGACAUUUGUGCAACUGUAUGGAUCAUGGAUGAAUCAUACAAUGGACACCUGGCCAGUGGUCUUCCCCUAUCGUCUAAGACUUUAAUUUGCAGAGUCACAUAUCAUUUAUGUGCAACUAACUGACCGUUACGCAUGCAGGUCCAUGUUUUAAUGUUCUUGACUGAUAUCACAAACAGAUGGAUAGAUCAGAUCAGAACUCAACUUGGGGCAUUAAAAGCCCCCCUUCCCCUUGCCUUGGGAUGAUGUCAAAAGGCUGAUUGAUAAUAACCAACUAACUCUUUCUUAUGAUAUGUUUAUAUAUGCAUGCAGCUUCCCGAUUCUCCCAACUUGGCAUUUGACUUCGAUUCACCAAGAAACAGAAACCUAGCAUUCAGUUUAAAAUUGGUUAUCAGUUGUCUUGAUGUGAGUGAUUUCGGCCGGCCGCCCUAUGCUAUUCUUUGCUCAAACGGAAGUGAUGUAAGUCUCAUACAAGAAUCAAUGUACAAAAUUAAAAUAUUAACAUGACAAGUAGCCAUCCUGAAUAAACUAUAGUUGUAUGAUGUUCAUCACUAUUCAUUAUUUACACCGCUACAAUUUAUAAGAGUAUUUUCACCUACUUGUCAUGGUAAAAGAUAAGGAUAAGUAAAGGCAGGUUACUAUUCACGUGAAUAUUGUGUGCCCUAUAAUUUUAUUUUAUUUUUUUACUUUGCCACCCAUUGCCAUGGCAACCCAAGAGCAAUUACUAUUCACAUGAGAUUAAUUUUAGGGUAAACUGGUGAAAUGCCCCCUGAACUUAUCCCUAACUUUCCAUCGACCCUCUAUCCUUUGUUUUUAGAAAAUUAAGGAUAUUAAUUUUUUUUUUAUUUCGCCAAUGUAUCCCCG